rnacentral:tRNA from 1 species
UUAACUAAAGCCAAAAAGAGGCUCAUCACUGUUAAUGAUGUCACUGAGUUUAAACUCUAGUUAAG